UACGUAGGCAGCAAGCGUUGUUCGGAGUUACUGGGCGUAAAGGGUGUGUAGGCGGUUUUUUAGGUUUGGUGUGAAAUCUCCCGGCUCAACUGGGAGGGUGCGCCGAAUACUGAAAGACUAGAGUGCGGGAGAGGAAAGUGGAAUUCCUGGUGUAGCGGUGAAAUGCGUAGAUAUCAGGAGGAACACCGGUGGUGUAGACGGCUUUCUGGACCGUAACUGGCGCUGAGACACGAAAGCGUGGGUAGCAAACAGG
rnacentral:rRNA from 1 species